rnacentral:lncRNA from 1 species
GCGCAUGUGCGAGCAUGCGCAUAUUCAAUCUUAGUACGACGCGCACUCAGUACAUGACACCGGAAGUGUUUAAGUGGUGGCCAUGAUUUUCCUAACUCCGUAACGUCUUCCCCGGGGUUAAGGAAAAAUGGAUAGGAAAGGAGAUAGGAGGAACUAUUCGGACGCAGCCUUAAUCAAUGGAAGGAGUUACCGGUGCUUUCCUGAGGUUUACUGGAAAGACACGACGCUGAUUUUAUAGAAAUGGAUACAAAGAGAAGAAGUGGGAAGCCCAACAGAGGAGGAGGACGUUUUAACAGAGGAAGAGGAGGA